rnacentral:misc_RNA from 1 species
UACGGAGCGUGCAAGCGGUAAUCGGAAUUACUGGGCGUAAAGCGUACGUAGGCGGUUGAAUUAGUCGGAUGUGAAAGCCCCGGGCUUAACCUGGGAAUUACAUUCGAUACUGUUCAGCUAGAGUGUGGAAGAGGGAAGUGGAAUUCCAGGUGUAGCGGUGAAAUGCGUAGAUAUCUGGAGGAACAUCAGUGGCGAAGGCGACUUCCUGGUCCAACACUGACGCUGAGGUACGAAAGCGUGGGGAGCAAACAGG